GAGUCUCUGAAGGGCUGUAGCGCUCCAUCUGAUGCGUCCGUGUGCUCACGUGUUCCUUCGGCUUGUGGGCAGCUGGAUGCCCAAGGAGAGACACUUCUCUGCCUUCCCAGUUUCCCAAAGGACAUUUUGUGGCAUUAAAGAGGAACCAGGACUCUAGAAGGUUCACCGCCCCCUGGUGACUGGAGGAGGAAACUGCAAGCCCUUCCUCUGGAUGCAGGGCUCUCGACACAAACUCCUAGCCCAGCUCCUGGAAAAGGCGAAAGCAGUGGUCUUAGGCAACUCCCACGAAAGGGUCAUUUGAUGCCAUGCCCCUGAGGAGGUCGCAUCCCACAGGUCGAGAAGCAGUUUUAGAAGCUACCUCUGGUUAUUGGGAGCACUGAAGAAAAGGGAGCAGGAAGGGCAUUUUAGAAUCUGCUACCACCAUCUCGGGAGAGACGCUGCUCAUCUACGGAGCGGGGAAGAAAUGACCAGCAGGUUUCUGAUCCGCUUUGGAGAUAGAACUGGCAGGACUUUCUGAGGACAUGGACUGAGGGAAAGGGAACCCUCAUGUACGGCACUCAGGUUUCUGCCUCAGGCAACAUGCCGAAGUUACUGAGUGGUCUAAAAGGGGCAUGGAAGGAUGGAGUCGGGGAAAGGAUGUGAUGGGUACCAAGAGUACAGAUUGAGCAGGCUCAAGUUGAGCUUCUGAGAUGUCAAAACAAACAAGCAAACGUCUAGCAAAUAAAUAUGAAUCAGAGUUUCA